CAUAUCCUACGGGGGGCAGCAGUAGGGAAUCUUCCACAAUGGACGAAAGUCUGAUGGAGCAACGCCGCGUGAGGGAUGACGGCCCUACGGGUUGUAAACCUCUUUUGUCGGGGAGCAAAGAGAGUCACGUGUGGCUCAUUGAGAGUACCCGAAGAAAAAGCAUCGGCUAACUCCGUGCCAGCAGCCGCGGUAAUACGGAGGAUGCGAGCGUUAUCCGGAUUUAUUGGGUUUAAAGGGUGCGCAGGCGGAGGUGCAAGUCAGUGGUCAAAUUGCGGGGCUCAACCCCGUACUGCCGUUGAAACUGC
rnacentral:rRNA from 1 species